rnacentral:rRNA from 1 species
UACGGGGGGGCAAGCGUUGUUCGGAAUUACUGGGCGUAAAGGCUCGUAGGCGGCCAACUAAGUCCGACGUGAAAUCCCCAGGCUUAACCUGGGAACUGCGUCGGAUACUGGAUGGCUUGAAUCCGGGAGAGGGAUGCGGAAUUCCAGGUGUAGCGGUGAAAUGCGUAGAUAUCUGGAGGAACACCGGUGGCGAAGGCGGCGUCCUGGACCGGCAUUGACGCUGAGGAGCGAAAGCCCAGGGGAGCAAACGGG